AUUGAACGCUGGCGGCAGGCCUAACACAUGCAAGUCGAGCGGAUGAAGGGAGCUUGCUCCUGGAUUCAGCGGCGGACGGGUGAGUAAUGCCUAGGAAUCUGCCUGGUAGUGGGGGAUAACGUCCGGAAACGGGCGCUAAUACCGCAUACGUCCUGAGGGAGAAAGUGGGGGAUCUUCGGACCUCACGCUAUCAGAUGAGCCUAGGUCGGAUUAGCUAGUUGGUGGGGUAAAGGCCUACCAAGGCGACGAUCCGUAACUGGUCUGAGAGGAUGAUCAGUCACACUGGAACUUAGACACGGUCCCGACUCCUAACGGAGGCAGCAGUGGGGAAUAUUGGAACAUGGGCGAAAGCCUGAUCCAGCCAUGCCGCGUGUGUGAAGAAGGUCUUCGGAUUGUAAAGCACUUUAAGUUGGGAGGAAGGGCAGUAAGUUAGUACCUUGCUGUUUUGACGUUACCAACAGAAUAAGCACCGGCUAACUUCGUG
rnacentral:rRNA from 1 species